rfam:Treponema succinifaciens DSM 2489, complete genome.
GGGCUCUUAGCUCAGCUGGUACGAGCGUCUGGUUUACACCCAGAAUGUCGGGGGUUCGAUCCCCUCAGAGCCCA